AAUCAACGCUGGCGGCGUGCCUCAGACAUGCAAGUCGAACGCGAAAGUCCCCUUCGGGGGACAAGUAGAGUGCGCACGGGUGAGUAACACGUAGGUAAUCUACCUUCGGAUGGGGAAUAACAACCGGAAACGGUUGCUAAUACCGCAUAAUGCAGCGGCACCUAAUGGUGACAGUUGUUAAAGCGGGGGAUUGAAAGACCUCGCGUCUGAAGAGGAGCCUGCGGCGGAUUAGCUUGUUGGAGGGUAACGGCCUACCAAGGCGACGAUCCGUAGCCGGCCUGAGAGGGCGGUCGGCCACACUGACACUGACAUACGGGUCAGACUCCUACGGGAGGCAGCAGUCGGGAAUUUUGGGCAAUGGGCGAAAGCCUGACCCAGCAACGCCGCGUGAAGGA
rnacentral:rRNA from 1 species